GGCCUGAUAGCAUAGUUGGUUAGUGCGUCUGUUCGAAUUAGCAUGUAUCGCAAAUUUAAACAGAUAACCCCGGUUCGAAUCCGGUUCAGGUCA